UGUAGUUCAAGGGUAGAACAUUUGCCUGACAAGCACAAGGCCUGGGGUUCAAUCCCCAACA
rnacentral:tRNA from 1 species